AACGAACGCUGGCGGCAUGCCUAACACAUGCAAGUCGAACGAGACCUUCGGGUCUAGUGGCUCACGGGUGCGUAACGCGUUGGAACCUGCCCUUAGGUUCUGAAUAACUCCCCGAAAGGGGUGCUAAUACCGGAUUAUGUUUUCGGACCAAAGAUUUAUCGCCUUUGGAUGUGCCCACGUUGGAUUAGCUAGUUGGUAGGGUAAAAGCCUACCAAGGCGACGAUCCAUAGCUGGUCUGAGAGGAUGAUCAGCCACACUGGGACUGAGACACGGCCCAGACUCCUACGGGAGGCAGCAGUGGGGAAUAUUGGACAAUGGGCGAAAGCCUGAUCCAGCAAUGCCGCGUGAGUGAUGAAGGCGUUAGGGUUGUAAAGCUCUUUUACCCGGGAUGAUAAUGACAGUACCGGGAGAAUAAGCUCCGGCUAACUACGUG
rnacentral:rRNA from 1 species